AGAGAAUAGAUACCCAGGUAGUCCACGCUGUAAACUAUGAACACUAGCUGUAAGAAGUAUCGACCCUUCUUGUAGCGAAAGCUAACGCGUUAAGUGUUCCGCCUGUGGAGUACGGUCGCAAGACUAAAACAAUAAAGGAAAUUGACGGGGACCCGGCACAAGCGGUGGAGCGUGUUGUUUAAUUCGAUGCUAAGCGAAGAACCUUACCCAGGUUUGACAUCCUACUAAUUUCUCCGAAACGGAGAGAGUGCCUUCGGGCCGUAGUGACAGGUGAUGCAUGGCCGUCGUCAGCUCGUGUCGUGAGAUGUUAGGUUAAGUCCUUUAACGAGCGCAACCCUUAUG
rnacentral:rRNA from 1 species